rnacentral:snRNA from 1 species
CUACUUGCCUGGACGGAACCAAUGGGUGAUGAAGAAGAACAUAGGCUUAGGUUGCUGACCUUCCUUGCACUUCGGAGUGACGAAGCAUACGUCACAAUUUGUGACAAGCAAGGGCGGAGCUUGG